rnacentral:lncRNA from 1 species
AGCCAAUUGCAGUGUGGUUGUCACUGAGCUCCAGUUCUUUACAGUUUCUCUGCCUGCAGGUUUCUGUUUGUGGCAUUGGAAAAGUACAGGCUGCCUUCACGGUAUUCCCCAGUGAUUGGCGCUAUCAAUGCGCGUUUGAAGCGAUUUGCAGAUGAGCAAGAUCGCGUGAGUUUUGUGGACUGCAAUGAAGAGCUUGUGGAGAUUGGCAUGGUAAGCACAUUCUCCACACCACCCUCGGGAUAAGAGAUCUACAGACCAGUCUAUUCCUGCACUGCUGAUGUGUUUAGCGACAUGUGUGUCAUUCGCUGUGUGAAUUAAGACCUGUCAUGCUUUUGGCAGGAUGGACAGGGGCAGAUGUUGAACAAGGCUUUGAUGCCGGAUGCGCUGCAUCCCAACGCUUUAGGCAUGGACAAGGUGUUAAGCUGCCUCGACUCCCACGUGCUGCCAUAUCUGCCCCGAAUGCCCACUCUGUGAAGUGAACGUUGUUGGUUGAGGAACAGCCCAGUGUGCAAGCUUCUGAUAAGAACCAGGCACGCAACGGUAUUGGAAUAUUUACAUGCCACACACUGUGCUGAGUGGCAAAAAGCACUGCUGAUUUUGUGAUAAAAAAGGACAUUGAUGAUUAUGUGUAUCAAAUAUCUCGUCCUCGGCAUUAGUAAUUGUGAUCAUGCCUGCUUUUGUCCUUUGUCCGGAUCAGAUAUGAAUCCAAGCAGCCAAUUUUUGAGAUGUUAUGUUGCGAUGUCACGUCUCGUUUGGAAAAGUGCUCUCAAGCAAAAGCCUAUCUGAACUCGUGCGUUGACAUUGAGCCUACAAACUGGGACACAAUGUUAUAGCUGUAACAAAAAUGUGAAAAAUUCUGCUGCAUGGGCCUACAGCUACCUAGCUGACUAAUUAAAAAAAUAGUCUUCUCACGAUGCAUGCGUUAGGCGGCCACAAGCAUUGCACUGCCUCAGAUGUAGCUUGUGCAAGGCGCUGCGAGCAUGUUGUUCCAAGCUGUCCAAAGAGCUGAACGCCCUGUUACACCCCUCAUGCCCACACCUG